AUUAAAAAAUUCUAAGAAAUUAUCAUCUAUAUAACGGAAAUGAAAUAUAUAAGAAUCCAUGGUGUAAACAAAUGAACAGUGUUACCAAUAGGAAUUAGCCUUUAGCAUUACUUUCGUUUCGUGGACUUCCUCUUGGCGCCAUGUACCGGUGUUGUUUGCCGCGGGCUCUCCACCUCAUCUCUCCUGGCACCGGAAGAAUCAUGAUCAUCAUCGUCACCAGAUGAAUUCUCCGUGUGAGGCAGUCCACCAGCGGCAGCGUCCACGUCCCUCUUCAUCUUAUCGGAAGAAGUAGAAGGAUGAAGUGGUCCACUACCAGCAACGCUAGUGCCUCGCCCCUUCCCACUCACCACAUUAUGAGCUGGCAGUUAUAGCGAGCGGACGUGUUUUCAGACGCUCUGCUGUUUACCCUGUUUUCCCCAAAACAUUACCCCGAUCCUGCCAAGUGAAUACAACAAGUUGCAAGAUGGAUAUUGCAGUGUUCAAAGCAAUCAUUGAAACUCAAGAUACAGCAUACAAUAACGCACUUGCUUUAUUUAUGAAGCAAGCUGAUCAGAAAAUCCAGGCACUCCAAACAACCAUGAACGAUUUGGCAAGAAGCCCCGAGUUCACCCAAAGCGAGCUGGACGAGCACAAACACGAAGUGAGGCAGCUCCAACGAGCAAGGAGGGAGGACCAAGACCUGAUAACAAGCUUAACCGAGGACCUACAGCAUAAAGGUGAACUCAUAAAUGAAAUCGAGGAAAGAUGUAACUACCAAGAAGAUUACAGUCGUCGAAGUAAUCUGCAAAUUGUUGGAAUUAAUGAAGAUCUUUAUGUAACUUGGGAACAAACUGCUUCAAAAGUCAUGGAGCUGCUGGACAGGAAACUCCAGUUAGCGAACGUGGAAUUAGAGCGAGCUCAUCGGGUGGGACAACGGAAUGAACAUCGCCACCGACCCAGCAUCGCUCGCUUUACCAGGUUUACUGACCGCGAGGCCGCCUUGAGGAAUGUUGUCAAGCUUAAAGCUACCAGAAUAUUCAUCAAUGAAGAUAUGUGUCAAGCUUCGCAAAACAUAUAAAAAGAAAAACUCCCCCAAUUACAACAAGCUAGAAGUGAAGGGAAAAUUGCGUACUUCAGACACACCAAACUAGUCAUCAAGGAGAGACAAGGUUCGAGAAGGAUGAGUGAGGACGCUGGUGCUGAUGAAUCACUUGUUGCUGCUGCUGCUGCUGCUGCUGCUUCAAGUACGGCCAGGUAUGGGUGUGAGGGCGAAAGGAGUGGAGUGUGGAGUGGUGGAGUGGGUGAAGCGUGGUGCAUUGAGAUGGUUUGGCCAUAUGGUGGGAAUGGGGGAGAAUGAAUUCGUGAAGAGUGUAUGAGGGAAGGAAUGAGGGAGGGAGUGUCAGGGGAAGACCACCUGUGAAGUGUAUCAGUAGGGUGAGCAAACAUUUGGAGUGAGAGAUUUAGAAGCAGAAGGAUUGAGUGUGCUGAGAGGGAGUGCCAGAACAGGAAGAGAUGGAGACACUUCUACCAAGACCACCCCUUGGAGGGAAGGUUAUAGUCCAAAGGAAGAACAAACAAACAACAGCAG